UACGUAGGGGGCAAGCGUUGUCCGGAUUUAUUGGGCGUAAAGCGCGUGUAGGCGGCCAUGUAGGUCUGACGUGAAAUCCCGAGGCUCAACCUCGGCCGGUCGUUGGAAACCACAUGGCUAGAGUCCGGAAGAGGAGAGUGGAAUUCCUGGUGUAGCGGUGAAAUGCGCAGAUAUCAGGAAGAACACCGAUGGCGAAGGCAGCUCUCUGGGUCGGCCCUGACGCUGAGGCGCGAAAGCGUGGGGAGCGAACGGG
rnacentral:rRNA from 1 species